rnacentral:lncRNA from 1 species
GGAAAAGCAACAACACAAAUAUUAUGCAAAAGUGUGAAACAUAAUAUAAAUCGCUAGCAGUGUUAGACAAAACACUAUCAUACUCGCCGGAACAAAGAGGGAAACAGGGACAAAGAGGAAAACCGCUCGACUACUCCUUAACCUACAACCCUAAUGCUCGACUUCCACACCUUUUUAUCAAGAACCAUGUCCUCGGAAAUCUGGAGCCGCGCCACGUCCUGUCUAAUCACCUCGCCCCAAUACUUCUUAGGCCGCCCUCUACCUCUUCUCGUACCUGCCAAAGUCAACCACUCACACCUCAUUUGUCCCGCAUAAAGUAAUAAAAUAAGUUAUUCAAGUUUUCUGUACGCUCUUGUAUUUUGAUGUUUGCUUAAACAUCAAAAUAUUUUGUAAAACAGAUUUAGUUUGUCAGAGACUAAUCUUUGGGGCCGAAGAGAGUAGUUUGUAGUUCUACCAUUUUUGUGUUGUUGUCUCCUUUGUUGAUAAUCUGGAGAGUUCCACUAUUUAUCAUUUUGUUUCGUUUUUUUCCAUGUUAAUCAAGGCCUUGUCAUAUCUCUCCGUUAAACACUUUUAUUAAUCAAGCAAUUUUAAUUCGGACCGUCGUAAUGACAUUUUGCCAUUAAAACUGCUUCACCAACACUAAAUGGACAAAGUGCACCAAUAGUCACUUUUAAACACUCACGGAAUUUAUAUCCGGUUCUGGAAGGACUGCCUUCAUUGUAUUAUUUAAAAUAUAUUUACAAUUUACAAUAUAUUUAAAGAUUAGCCGAUUCAUCAAAACUUUAUGAUUAAGUAUCAUGAAUUUUGUUGCUACCCAUUUGGAAUUCAGGACACUUAGUCAUGAAUUCCCGAACUACUAAUUUAAAAUUCAGGACAUAAAGUUUAGGAGAUAAUGUCCUGAAACUUGAACUUUGAGCUUUAAAGUUGAGGACGCCGUGUCCCAAACUUUAUGCGAAUUAGCUAAUCUUUGAAUAUUCUAUAAAUGAUAAAUAUAUUUUAACAACAUGCUUGAAAAUGGCUACCUAGUGUCAUUUCCACACAUUAAAUAGAUCAAUGUAUUUGCCUUCUUCCGAGGUAAUAUCACAUUAUCUUCUAGACGUUAGUAAUUAAUACCAUCAUAUCUUCUUUUAGAUAACGUGUUAGCACUUCUUACAUUCCUGAUUUUUCUCCCAAUCCACCUUCUUUCACAUAACUAUUUGACCUCCUCCAGUCUUCUUCUAGUAACCUUAUUUUCUUUAACAUUUUCCAACCUCCUCGGGUCAUUGGAUUGGUGAUAUUGAAAAAAAUAAUUUUUAACAUAAAAUUUCGUAUAAAAUAACUUUAUAUUUAAUCAAAGAGAGAGUCAUAAAUAAUUAUUGCUUAACUUAUAUUGUGUUUGGCUGGUCGUGUAAGAAAAAAUUAAAUAAUUUUAGCAUAAAUAAUAAGUUAAGCUAGAAUAUAUGUAUUAUUUCAUAAUUUUUGUAUAACUAGCAUGUGAUCAGCGGCGGAGCCGUUCGCCAAAAAAUUAUACUAUAUAGCUAGGUAAAUUUUUAUAUAUAUAUAUAUAUAUAUUAUUGACUUUUCUUGGCUUUUUUGUAAGUUUAUGUCUUUAUAUUUUGAAACUCCUUAAGAAAAAUUCCGAUGCGGUCACUGCAUGAGAUCAACCCCUUAAUUUCUUCCCUUCUAUUCCUAUCUAGAAGCCGUUCCAUCUAAGUUACAUCAACAAGGAAAAAAUAAAAUAAACAUAAAAAUAAAAAUAACAAUAAGAAAAAUGAAAGGACAUCACUUUUUUGAUUGUAUAUAUAUAUAUUCCUAUAAAUCUUCACUUAUUCACAACAUAGUAGAGUAUAUUUUUUACAUCAUAUUGUACCAAAAUAAAAUCUUUUACGUCGUAUUUCACUUAGAAGCUUCUUGAUUAUGGAAAACAAAGCUGAAAAACGAAGAGUAGAAGAAGAAGAUUUAGAAAAUUUAGAUACAAUUUCUUUAUCUGACCUACAAAUGAAAGAUGGAAACGAGAGCCCAAAAAAUUCCUCUUCGCCACAAGAUUUUUUUGAAUUUUUCACUGAAUCUGAUUCUGAAAAUUAUACAUUUUCAGAUAUAAUUUUUUGCGGAAAAAAGAUUAGCCAUGAAAAUGAUGACAAAAGGCAAUUAGAAGAGCAAUUGGAUGAGACUUAUUUGUCUCCAUUAUUUCGUUCCAAUUCAUUUCAUCGGCCGGUUAUGACGCCGAUGAAUCAGAAACGGGCCGAGUCGGCCCGUUUUUACAAUUCACAAAAUGUGCAGAAGGUGAAUAUUACUGCACUAACCUCCAUGUCAGCGAAAUCUCGGAGAAGAAUGUUCAUGUUCGGGCCUGUGAAGUUCAAGCCCGAAAUGGAGCUAAGUGAAAUCAAGCAAAGACAGGGCCGCCGUUGUGUUCUGCCGCCGGUGAUUAUGGCAGGUGACGGCGGAGAGACGGCGGCGUUGGUGAAGAGCAGUCAGAAGAAGAAUAAGAGUGGGUCCACCGAUGAAAAAAUCAAGGGGUUGAGGAGUAGGCCCCACUUGGCUAACGUGUUGGCCAAGUCAUUGAGUUGUUUUUCCAUGCGAAAACAUUGCAUGGCGUUGCCUGAUCAUUUAUACAGCAACUUUGUACAGAAAAGAAAAGGGACUUUAUAAGGUUCAAAUUUAUAAUAUUAUCUUUUUGGUUAAAAUUAACAAAAAAA